CCUACGUGCAGCUGUUAAAUUCAUAGGAGCAUGUUUAAGAUUAAUCGUUGUAUGAUAAAUUAAUAAUAAUCCAAGAAACGAUCAUCGGGCAAACGGAACGUUAAUUCAAUUUAAUAUUCCUUCACCGAUUUCGCUUGGUUCUUAUCUACAAGCACAUUUCCCGAAGUUGUGAAACGAUCGACUCUUUUUGCUCCGCUGGUGGUUGUUUUACAUUUGGUUGUAAAUUACUAGUAUCUACUUUAGAUUUGGUUCUGUUUUAGAUGGUUAGUAUACUAAAGUUGAAAUUGUUCUGGUUUCAUUAUGUAUCUCGUUAUAGAAUGAUCUUUUCCGUUUUACCAUGACGUGUUUGAUAAGUGGAAUUUUAAAUAUUAUUUUCAAUGAAAAACAAAAUUGGCAAGUGCAUGUUAUUAGGACCUGCUGCCAUGAAAAAUUUUAUGUUGAAUUGGAAAUCUAUUAUAUAAGAGAAGUAAGUAAUGUGGCUCUGGAAAUUGGGACAUUUCAAGUCAUGGUGCAACUGCAAACCUGUGCCUGUGGACACCGUCACAGUUGCUUGCCCCGAUCAUCUCGUGUUAGCUGAUCUUCCUAUGGCGAAGGGUCUGGGUACAACAUCUGCAACUACUGUUAUCAAGUCUGUUAGACGUUGCUCCCGUCGCCAGCUCGAGCCCAUGUGAGCAUGCCUUCUGUUUGGACUGUACCAGGAGCCAGGUGAAUGGGCACCUAUCAUCUUCGCGAGAAAGGUUAUUCGGAUCGAGAUGAUUAUCUAGCUAGUUACAUCACCAUUUUGUUAUCUUUCUUUGGACAUACGAUUGGUAGAACAUGUAUUUUUGUUGACUCUAUUCGGAUGGUGAUUGUAUGAAUAUUUUGGAUGGUAUAUGACAUGAUUUAUGGAUGGUUUUUAUUA